AAAAAAGUCUUCGGAUGACCUGUGGGUAGGGGUGAAAGGCCAAUCAAACUCGGAAAUAGCUCGUACUCCCCGAAAUGCAUUUAGGUGCAGCGUUAGUUAUAAAGUUAUAUAGAGGUAGAGCUACUGAUUGGAUGCGGGGGCUUCACCGCCUACCAAUUCCUGACAAACUCCGAAUGCUAUGUAAUGUUCACUAACAGUGAGGGCUUGGGUGCUAAGGUCCAAGUCCGAGAGGGAAAGAACCCAGACCAUCAGCUAAGGUCCCCAAAUAUACACUAAGUUGAAAGAACGAGGUUUGUCUGCCCAGACAGCUAGGAUGUUGGCUUGGAAGCAGCCAUUCAUUUAAAGAGUGCGUAACAGCUCACUAGUCGAGCGGACGAGCAUGGAUAAUAAUCGGGCAUAAGUGUAUUACCGAAGCUAUGGAUUUACAAGUAAUUGUAAGUGGUAGGGGAGCAUUCUAACAGGGUUGAAGGUGUAUCGUCAGGUAUGCUGGACUGGUUAGAAAAGAAAAUGUAGGCAUAAGUAACGAUAAUGCGGGCGAGAAACCCGCACACCGAAAAACUAAGGUUUCCACAGCUAUGCUAAUCAGCUGUGGGUUAGUCUGGUCCUAAGGCGAACCCGAAAGGGACAGUCGAUGGCUAACGGGUUAAUAUUCCCGUACUACUAAUUACUGUGAUGGGGUGACGGAGUGAUGAAAGCGCCGCGAACUGACGGAAUAGUUCGUUGAAGUACCUACCUAUAGGAUCUGCAGGCAAAUCCACAGAUCUUGGGGAAAUACGAUAGUACUCGGAGUCUUCGGACAAAGAGAUAGUGCGCCUAAGGGCUUCCAAGAAAAACCUCUAAACUUCAGGUAAUUAGUACCAGUACCGUAAACCGACACAGGUAGUUGAGGAGAGAAUCCUAAGGUGCUCGAGAGAUUCAUGGCUAAGGAAUUAGGCAAAAUAGACCUGUAACUUCGGGAGAAAGGUCGCCAGCGCAAGCUGGCCGCAGUGAAGAGGUCCAGGCGACUGUUUAUCAAAAACACAGGGCUCUGCAAAAUCGUAAGAUGAAGUAUAGGGCCUGACACCUGCCCGGUGCUGGAAGGUUAAGAGGAGAUGUUAUCUUCGGAGAAGCAUUGAAUUGAAGCCCCAGUAAACGGCGGCCGUAACAAUAACGGUCCUAAGGUAGCGAAAUUCCUUGUCGGGUAAGUUCCGACCUGCACGAAUGGUGUAACGAUCUGGACACUGUCUCAGCCAUGAGCUCGGUGAAAUUGUAGUAACGGUGAAGAUGCCGUUUACCCGCAGUGGGACGAAAAGACCCUGUGCACCUUUACUAUAGCUUAGUAUUGACCUUGGAUAAAUGAUGUGUAGGAUAGGUUGGAGACUGUGAAGUGGCGUCGCCAGGCGUUGUGGAGUCAUUGUUGAAAUACAACCCUUUGUUUAUCUGAGGCCUAACCCCGUUUUGCGGGGGACAUUGCUUGGUGGGUAGUUUGACUGAAAG
rnacentral:rRNA from 1 species